GUUGCCACGAGUUCUGGGGCCAGGGCCGUUUUGCCCAACUCUUCUCUUUGCCUCUCUUUGAGAAAAGGGCUCAUCAGGAAGGUGGAAGCUUCGGCCAGCAUACUGGAAUGAACUGAGCUGAGAGCUCAAGCAGACUUCCAUGCACACGGUGGCCUUGCUAAACAAGCACUGGCCUGGAGAUGAGCAGCACUGAAGCCAGUACAACACGUCCACAACCCGAAGCUGCCUGAAUGACCUUGUUCCAC
rnacentral:lncRNA from 1 species